UACGGAGGGGGCGAGCGUUGUUCGGAAUCAUUGGGCGUAAAGGGCGCGUAGGCGGCACUGUAAGUCAGAUGUGAAAGCCCUUGGCUUAACCAAGGAACUGCAUCUGAAACUGUAGUGCUUGAAUCCGGGAGGGGAGAGUGGAAUUCCCAGUGUAGCGGUGAAAUGCGUAGAUAUUGGGAGGAACACCGGUGGCGAAGGCGGCUCUCUGGGCUGGAACUGACGCUGAGGAGCGAAAGCGUGGGGAGCGAACAGG
rnacentral:rRNA from 1 species